GGCAUUGCCAACAUAAAAGUGUUAUUCUGAUUUGUUAUCUGUAUUAUAAAUGUAGCCAAGGAUUGGUUACUUAUUUUUAUUAUCUGUGUCUCUCUCUUCUCCAACUAUGGCCGCCAUGAGCGGGUGCUAUUUUAUAUUGUAAUUGUGAAAGUACAAUAAACCAGUGAAAAUAACCAGCCUCCUUUUUAAUGAUACAGUCCAACUAAGUAAUAAACUCAACAUGGUCCUAUCUCACCGUUUAUUAACAUCGUGAGUACUUUCGCCGAGACACUUUCGCCCGGCAACAUGGUGGCACGCAUGGUGCACGAGCUGUCUACACGCCGUUCUCACAGCGGAAAGGAGCGCCAUUAAUAUUUAUAGUAGCCGAAUUGUCGCACGUUCAGUGCUAUACGUCGUGCACUCAACAUCGAGCUACACAACCCAAGAACUGACCUGGUGCACGUGCAGUCUGGACGCCGUGCACUCGGCCUCAUCGAGCUACGUGACGCUAUCACCGAAUUGGUGCACGUGCAGUCUGCACGCCGUGCACUGCGGACUCAUCGAGCUUCGAAUCGUAAUCCUCGACAAGAUACACGUGCAGUCUACACGCCGUGUGCUCGGAAAAUUUAAAUACGUGACGUGAUUAACAAACUGAUACACUUGCAGUCUACACGCAGUGUAGUCAUCAAUUUGAACUACGCAUCGUAAUUUAUUUAAGACCCGACCUGUGGUACGUGCAGUCCAGUACGCCGUGCUCUCAGCAGGAUAGGACAUGGAACUAACUGAUUUGCAUUGACUUUAAAUAUUUUAAUAGUGACAAUAGUGUUUUAUAGACAUUACAGUAAUUAAUUUAGAUUGUAUACUGUGUGCUGUGAAGCAAUGAGUAAUUUGAGUGGAAUGUCGCUGGCGGACCUUGUGGCCGGGAGGGGCUACGUUAAGGCCAAAAUUUCAAGAACUUGUAACUCAGUGAAGAUAACUGAUUCAAAUGAGAUGUUACUAAAUCAAAAAACUAGAUUAUUAGAAGCAUUCAAAGAAUAUGAAGAUUACAACAUAAACAUACUAAAGUUAGAAUCUAAUGACACUGAACCUAUUGAGGAAUAUGAAAAUAAAUACUUAAAUGCAUUAACAAUUAUUGACGAAGAAAUCAACAGACGCAAUGCCCACUCUCCCUCCACGAGGCCCGAACAGGUGGUAAAAUUGCACCAGCCUAUCAAGUUACCACCCAUAGACAUACCUUGCUUUAGUGGUAAGUUCUCAGAGUUUAUACCAUUUAUAAAUUUAUUUAAUUCCCUAAUUGACAAAAAUGAUGCACUUGACAGUGUACAGAAACUGUAUUAUUUGCGAUCACACCUAAAGGGUGAACCCUUAGACAUAAUAAAGAACCUGCCGCUAACUAAUACUAGUUAUAAUGAAGCAUUAACAAUAUUAAAUGAAAGAUAUAACAACAAACUAAAAAUCAUAAAUGAACAUAUUUGUGUAUUGCUUGACCUCAAGCCAUUAGUAAAAUCAACAUCAAGCAGCCUAAGAGAGUUUGUCUCAUCUAUUAAACAGCAACUAGCAGCUCUAGCCAAUCUAGAACCCUCAGUCAAAUAUUGGGAUGCUAUAAUAUUAUGUGUACUCUCCCGAAAACUAGAUGCCUACACAGCCAGAGCAUAUCACAUGGAGCGGGACGCUGACACAGACCCAACAAUGGAAGGCUUCCUUGACUACCUAGAGAGGCGUGCACUGGCCUUAGAAAAUGCUGAACCAGGGACAUCGGGACAACCUCGCUACUUGCCUGCUAAUAAGACUGUACUAAUAGCAACUGAAAAAACGCUGCAGUGUGAUUUAUGCAUUGAUACUAACGGGUCCAGCAUACCAGCCAUCGAGUCACCAGCAGGCGACUGGCAGCGAACAGGGGAAGAAUGCAGCUCGAUCGCAGUUUGAGCUGUCAACCCAGCCCACCAUAGUUAACACCCAAUUUGGUCACAUUAUCGGAGGUGGCCUACCACAUCUAGUAGCAUGCAAUAAGAUGCCUCCAGUUCAACUGCCUAUGGCUGCUGUGUCUACCUGCGCGUCACUGACUGUAAAGGUAAAACUAUAAUGCAUUUGCUCUGCUCUAAGUCCCGAAUCAAUUCGAUUAGCAAGAGUAAUAC
rnacentral:misc_RNA from 1 species